ensembl:misc_RNA Metazoa_SRP Metazoan signal recognition particle RNA
GCCGGACGUGGUGGCACAUGCCUGUAGUCCCAGCUACUUGGGAGGCUGAGGCUGGAGGAUCGCUUGAGUUCAGGAGUUCUGGGCUGUAGUGCACUAUGCCGAUCGGGUAUCUGCACUAAGUUCGGCAUCAAUAGUGUCCUCCCAGGAGCGGGGGACCACCAGGUUGCCUAAGGAGGGGUGAACUGUCCCAGGUCAGAAACAGAGCAGGUCAAAACUUCUGUGGUCAAAACUCCCAUGUUGAUCAGUAGCGGGGCCUGUGAAUAGCCACUGCACUCCAGCCUGGGCAACAGAGUGAGACCCCAUCUCU